GUUCUCUCCGAAAUGCAUCUAGGUGCAGCGUUGUGAUAUAGUGUCGUGGAGGUAGAGCACUGAAUGGGCUAGGGGGCAUACCCGCUUACCAAACCCAAUUAAACUCCGAAUGCCAUUGACAUGUUCUGUAGCAGUGAGGCUAUGUGAGAUAAGUUUCAUAGCCAAGAGGGAAACAACCCAGACCUACAGCUAAGGCCCCUAAAUUUUUACUAAGUGAUAAAGGAUGUAGAUUAGCACAGACAGCUAGGAGGUUGGCUUAGAAGCAGCCAUUCCUUUAAAGAAAGCGUAACAGCUCACUAGUCAAGGUGAUCCGCGCCGAUAAUAACCGGGACUAAAGUAAGAUACCGAAGCUUAGGAUUUCUAUUUAUAGAAGUGGUAGGAGAGCGUUCCAUCAACUGUCGAAGGUUGACCCGUGAGGGCAGCUGGAGGAAAUGGAAAUGAGGAUGCUGGCAUGAGUACACGAUAAAAUACGUGAAAUUCGUAUUCACCGAAAGCCCAAGGUUUCCUGAUCAACGUAAAUCGGAUCAGGGUUAGUCGGCCCCUAAGAUAAGGCCGAAAGGCGUAGUCGAUGGGAAUCAGGCAAUUUAAAUAUUCCUGAACCUCCGAACCUUAAACCAAGACAUCCAUUUACCAGACUUUACUAGCUUAUUGAUUUGUUAGUAAAGAGUAAGAGGUGGCGAGAAAAAGCUUGGUGUACGCUAAGGAGACCGUACCGUAAACCGACACAGGUAGGCGAGAUGAAAAUUCUAAGGUGCUUGAGAGAAUUGUGGUCAAGGAACUCGGCAAAUUGACCCCGUAACUUCGGGAUAAGGGGUGCCCUUGAGGGUGUAGGUCUUUACGACCGAAGCUCCCAGGGGCCGCAGAGAAUUGGCCCGUGCGACUGUUUACUAAAAACACAGGACUCUGCGAACUCGUAAGAGGAUGUAUAGAGUCUGACGCCUGCUCGGUGCCGGUAAGUUAAGGAAGAGGGUUAGCUUUCGGGCAAAGCCAGCGACCGAAGCUCCGGUAAACGGCGGCCGUAACUAUGACGGUCCUAAGGUAGCGAAGUUCCUUGUCGGGUAAGUUCCGACGUGCAUGAAUGGAGUAACGACUGGAGCACUGUCUCCACAACCAACUCGGUGAAAUAGUAGUGGCGGUGAAGAUGCCGCCUACCCGCAGCAAGACGGAAAGACCCCGUGGACCUUUACUGCAGGCAUAUAUUGGUCAUGGACCUGUACUGCGUAGGAUAGGUGGGAGGCUUUGAAG
rnacentral:rRNA from 1 species